CCCAACCCAGUCCAGCUGAACCCAACUGAGGUCAGUCUAACCCAGCCCAGUUCAGCUGAACCCAACUGAGUCCAGUCUAACCCACCCCAGCCCAGCUGAACCCAACUGAGUCCAGUCUAACCCAACCCAACCCAGCUCAGCUGAACCCAACUGAGGUCAGUCUAACCCAGCCCAGUUCAGCUGAACCCAACUGAGUCCAGUCUAACCCAACCCAGCCCAGCUCAGCUGAACCCAACUGAGAUUCUGUACCGCACUGGUGUGUAAACUCUGAACUCCACACAGAGUGUCAUCAGCUCUCCUCACAGCUCAGUCACACACAACAACCCUUCUCCAGCCCCGAACCACGGACACCGCUGCAGCUUCAGCCCCAGAAAGCGCAAGCAGCGAAUUAAGGAGAGCAACCUGGCAGGAUGGGACUGCACAACCUGGAGCUGCAGUUGGACGAUGAACCCCAAUACGGAAAUGGACCAAAACUUACAAAAGUGUGAAAACUCAUGACCUGGAAUCCAGCUUGGGUGUAGCCACGGCCGGGCUCUUGUCCCGCCCAAGCUGUACCCGUGGAGGGAUUCAAUAAAUCCAUGUUUAUUCCUUUA